rnacentral:rRNA from 1 species
CCUACGGGAGGCAGCAGUGGGGAAUAUUGCACAAUGGGGGAAACCCUGAUGCAGCGACGCCGCGUGAGUGAAGAAGUACUUCGUUAUGUAAAGCUCUAUCAGCAGGGAAGAAAAUGAAGGUACCUGAGCUAGAAGCCCCGGCUAACUACGUGCCCGCAGCCGCGGUAAUACGUUGGGGGCAAGCGUUUUCCGGAUUUACUGGGUGUAAAGGGAGCGUAGACGGCAGUGCAAGUCUGGAGUGAAAGGCGGGGGCUCAACCCCCGGACUGCUCUGGAAACUGUACGGCUAGAGUGCAGGAGAGGUAAGUGGAAUUCCUAGUGUAGCGGUGAAAUGCGUAGAUAUUAGGAGGAACACCAGUGGCGAAGGCGGCUUACUGGACUGUAACUGACGUUGAGGCUCGAAAGCGUGGGGAGCAAACAGGAUUAGAUACCCGAGUAGUC